AAAAACAGAAAUCAAUUCACUUUCUCAAACUAUUUUCACAUACAAAUUAUUCUUUGCUAAACAAAAAAGCCUAAAUGUCAUCACAAUUCAAGAAGAAAACAUGUUAAAACCAGCAAAGUGGAAAAUCUCUUCAAUGGUCACCGUGAACAUGUAGUCAUCCUCAAUACACCAGUUCUUAUAAUUGCUAAAACAGCAGUCGACUUCAAGCUUGAUGCAGACUUCUAAUUCAGAAUAUAAGAAAGAAUUGGAAACCCGGAUGUGUUGAAACUCUAUUGGCUGCCAAUUUGCCAUAUCUGCCUAUGUUCAACUGACAAGUUUUCUCAAUACUGCUUCAGCACGGCUGCUCAAAUUUGGGUAGGGCCCAUUCAUGCUGGAUUAUGUCAAGACUGUCUUUCUCAGCACUCAAGCUCUUUGUUGGAUCGGAUCAAAGCCAAAUCCACUCAUUUGCAUCAUGCGUUGUGUAUCGUCCAUAGCAUUUUCUUCACCAAGAAUGAGACUAAAUAAACCCCUUAAUCCAAACAAAUUAAGGAAAUACCAUGAACGACUACUGACAUAACUAACAUCAACAGUGCUCAAGUCAAUCCCAUUUUGCAACAUUGAUCCUGAACCUCUGAGUCAGAGGAAAGGGUAUCUUAGCUGCAACAAAUCCAGAGAAGAAAAAGUUGACCCACGCAAAAGUAAGAGUCUGAGGUAUAAUCAUAGAAAGGUUUUUUUUCAUCAUAUCCAUGGCCAUAUUUGGAUCAGAGAACAUUUGUGCUUGUGCAUUUUGUGCCUGGCCUUUCGGAACAAAUAACAAUCCAUUUUCCUCGUUGCUGAAAUAAACCCUUCGAGCACGAAACGCCUUAGGAGGUAUAAAAUUAGCGCCAGAGCGCAAAUUCCGAGCCCUGACAAUUACUUG
rnacentral:misc_RNA from 1 species